UGAUUUUUUUUUUUUUUGGAAGCGUCUUGGUUGUUCCUUCUCAUGGGUUUUGCCUCUCCCCUCACCUUGCUACCUCUGAAGGUGUCCCCCCAAAAGAUUGUAAAACUGAAUGCUUAGACCGCUUGAGGUGGUUUCAGUUGCCUAAACCCUUGCUUUCCUCUGCAAAACUCUGUGGGCCUGGGAUGUUUAGAACGCUUCUGCAUCACAGUGACCCUCAGAAGCCCAUUAGCACAAGAUGGUUUGGGGCAGAGACUUCACAGUCAGAGAAAAGACUUAGGCCUGGGAGUGUCCAUUCAGUGUUUGCAGGAAUGGACCUAGUUCUAAAGAAACCAGAUUAUGGGGGGAGGGGUAGUCUGUCAUUGAUAAGCACACCAUCAAGCAUCUUUCUAAUACUUAACCUUCUCCUACCCUUAACAUCAUAAACACCAACUCUCUUCCCUGGGUACAUGUGCUACCUGUGAGACUGGGGGAGAGUUGGGGAGAAACCCCUUUCAGGGAGGUUCUCCAGGAAGUUGCUACCAGAGUAAUCUCUAUAGGUGGCAUACACAGGGAGUUGGGGGAAAAUCAUUUGGCCCCAGGUAGUCGGCCUCUGCUUCAAGCUUUUUGUAUCCCAUUUCUUUCCAGCUCCCAUGUUUAGAGGCAGGUGGCUCUGUUAGAGUAGCCUGGAUAUAGUCAAGGAUUGGUGAGACGACCCCUACCCCCACUCCAAGAUGCAAUUAAUGCUUUGCACUUGGUGGGUAUAUAUUUGUGGUUCAAAUACGAGUGGUGGAGAGCAGGUUAGUCUUAGUACAAAGGCUGACUUCUCUUGUGGCUCCUCCCCUUUGCCUAUACUCCUGGCCUGCAUGGGCCUCCCAACUGGCUCCAACUUGUCCUUCAGUCCUAACAUCCGUGAACUGCACCAGUACCAACAGCUCAACCACGAAAGAGUCAAGGCCAUGGACAGCCAAUACAUUCCCGUUAGCUUCAUGACCACAAGGUUAAGGUUCCCCCAACAAGCAUUCUGCCUGAUGUCUUCUUUAUCUAGACAAUACAGAUCCAGUUGUCUGUGUAACUUGUUAUUCUGAGCAGAUCUACCCAUGCAGUUGUCCGCCCCCCCCCCCACCUUUGAACCAGUCAGGAAAAAAAAAAAA
rnacentral:lncRNA from 1 species